rnacentral:misc_RNA from 1 species
AUGCAUUAACCGAGAAAGUUGAUGAGCAUGGUCAGACUUUGGCACACGCAGAGAAUCAGCACACUGAAUUAUCACAAAAGAUUGUGGAUCAGGAAUUAAAGCUGAAAGAACAGGAGGAAGCGCUCGGGAAGUUAGUGGAAGAGAAGGAAGGUCUAGUGGUACAGGUCAAUGAUCUCCAGGCUGAAGCGAAAUCCCUUUGUGAACAGAUGAGUACCUUGGAAGAAAACAUAAGCAGUGCAAACAAUGAGAGCAAUCUGCUGAAGGAGGAAAAGGUAAGUCUCCUAAGUAAACUAUCUGAUCUGGAGAAUGCAUUAACCGAGAAAGUUGAUGAGCAUGGUCAGACUUUGGCACACGCAGAGAAUCAGCACACUGAAUUAUCACAAAAGAUUGUGGAUCAGGAAUUAAAGCUGAAAGAACAGGAGGAAGCGCUCGGGAAGUUAGUGGAAGAGAAGGAAGGUCUAGUGGUACAGGUCAAUGAUCUCCAGGCUGAAGCGAAAUCCCUUUGUGAACAGAUGAGUACCUUGGAAGAAAACAUAAGCAGUGCAAACAAUGAGAGCAAUCUGCUGAAGGAGGAAAAGGUAAGUCUCCUAAGUAAACUAUCUGAUCUGGAGA